UACGAAGGGGGCUAGCGUUGCUCGGAAUCACUGGGCGUAAAGGGCGCGUAGGCGGCCAUUCAAGUCAGAGGUGAAAGCCCAAGGCUCAACCUUGGAACUGCCUUUGAUACUGUUUGGCUUGAGACCGGUAGAGGUAAGUGGAACUGCGAGUGUAGAGGUGAAAUUCGUAGAUAUUCGCAAGAACACCAGUGGCGAAGGCGGCUUACUGGACCGGUUCUGACGCUGAGGAGCGAAAGCGUGGGGAGCGAACAGG
rnacentral:rRNA from 1 species